UCUUGGAUAGUGGACGUUACUCGCAGAAUAAGCACCGGCUAACUCUGUGCCAGCAGCCGCGGUAAUACAGAGGGUGCAAGCGUUAAUCGGAUUUACUGGGCGUAAAGCGCGCGUAGGUGGCCAAUUAAGUCAAAUGUGAAAUCCCCGAGCUUAACUUGGGAAUUGCAUUCGAUACUGGUUGGCUAGAGUAUGGGAGAGGAUGGUAGAAUUCCAGGUGUAGCGGUGAAAUGCGUAGAGAUCUGGAGGAAUACCGAUGGCGAAGGCAGCCAUCUGGCCUAAUACUGACACUGAGGUGCGAAAGCAUGGGGAGCAAACAGGAUUAGAUACCCUGGUAGUCCAUGCCGUAAACGAUGUCUACUAGCCGUUGGGGCCUUUGAGGCUUUAGUGGCGCAGCUAACGCGAUAAGUAGACCGCCUGGGGAGUACGGUCGCAAGACUAAAACUCAAAUGAAUUGACGGGGGCCCGCACAAGCGGUGGAGCAUGUGGUUUAAUUCGAUGCAACGCGAAGAACCUUACCUGGUCUUGACAUAGUAAGAACUUUCCAGAGAUGGAUUGGUGCCUUCGGGAACUUACAUACAGGUGCUGCAUGGAUGUCGUCAGCUCGUGUCGU
rnacentral:rRNA from 1 species